rnacentral:rRNA from 1 species
AACGAACGCUGGCGGCAGGCCUAACACAUGCAAGUCGAGCGCGCCCUUCGGGGUGAGCGGCGGACGGGUGAGUAACGCGUGGGAACGUGCCCUUUUCUACGGAAUAGCCUCGGGAAACUGAGAGUAAUACCGUAUACGCCCUUUGGGGGAAAGAUUUAUCGGAAAAGGAUCGGCCCGCGUUGGAUUAGGUAGUUGGUGGGGUAAUGGCCUACCAAGCCGACGAUCCAUAGCUGGUUUGAGAGGAUGAUCAGCCACACUGGGGCUGAGACACGGCCCAGACUCCUGCGGGAGGCAGCAGUGGGGAAUCUUAGACAAUGGGGGCAACCCUGAUCGAGCCAUGCCGCGUGAGUGAUGAAGGCCUUAGGGUUGUAAAGCUCUUUCAGCUGGGAAGAUAAUGACGGUACCAGCAGAAGAAGCCCCGGCUAACUCCGUG